GUGGGGAAUUUUGGACAAUGGGCGCAAGCCUGAUCCAGCAAUGCCGCGUGCAGGAAGAAGGCCUUCGGGUUGUAAACUGCUUUUGUACGGAACGAAACGGUCCGGGUUAAUACCCUGGGCUAAUGACGGUACCGUAAGAAUAAGCACCGGCUAACUACGUGCCAGCAGCCGCGGUAAUACGUAGGGUGCAAGCGUUAAUCGGAAUUACUGGGCGUAAAGCGUGCGCAGGCGGUUUUGUAAGACAGGCGUGAAAUCCCCGGGCUCAACCUGGGAAUUGCGCUUGUGACUGCAAGGCUGGAGUGCGGCAGAGGGGGAUGGAAUUCCGCGUGUAGCAGUGAAAUGCGUAGAUAUGCGGAGGAACACCGAUGGCGAAGGCAAUCCCCUGGGCCUGCACUGACGCUCAUGCACGAAAGCGUGGGGAGCAAACAGGAUUAGAAACCCCAGUAGUCC
rnacentral:rRNA from 1 species